GACAGAGGGUGCAAACGUUGUUCGGAAUUACUGGGCGUAAAGCGCGUGUAGGCGGGACGGCACGUCGGUCGCUGAAAGCCCCCGGCUCAACCGGGGAACGGGCGCCGAUACGACCGCCCCUGGAGGAACGGUAGGGGGACCUGGAACUUGCCGGUGGAGCCGGUGAAAUGCGUUGAGAUCGGAAGGAACGCCCGUGGCGAAAGCGAGGUCCUGGACGUUUUUCUGACGCUGAGACGCGAAAGCCAGGGGAGCGAACGGGAUUAGAUGACCC
rnacentral:rRNA from 1 species